UACGUAGGGUGCGAGCGUUGUCCGGAAUUAUUGGGCGUAAAGAGCUCGUAGGCGGUCUGUCGCGUCGGAUGUGAAAAUCAGGGCUCAACCCUGGACCUGCAUUCGAUACGGGCAGACUAGAGUUCGGCAGGGGAGACUGGAAUUCCUGGUGUAGCGGUGAAAUGCGCAGAUAUCAGGAGGAACACCGAUGGCGAAGGCAGGUCUCUGGGCCACUACUGACGCUGGAGAAAGCGAAAGCGUGGGGAGCGAACAGG
rnacentral:rRNA from 1 species